rnacentral:lncRNA from 1 species
ACGAUAGACAUACGACGAUCCUUGGAAUUAAUCAAGAAGACUCUUCAAAGUCUGAAGAUUGAAAAGUCUGUAGAAAUCCCAGGAGGUUGCUCUCCGUCGAGCGCGGAGCAGUUGGGAAUACAAGGUGAUGAAUCAGAAAAGUCCAGACGAGUUUGGGAGUUCUCAAAAUUGGAAAGUUGACAUGGGAGUGGGAUAUGAAUACCAAGGUUCGACGAGUCGACG